rnacentral:rRNA from 1 species
CAGGACGAACGCUGGCGGCGUGCCUAAUACAUGCAAGUCGAGCGGACNUGAUGGAGUGCUUGCACUCCUGAUGGUUAGCGGCGGACGGGUGAGUAACACGUAGGCAACCUGCCCUCAAGACUGGGAUAACUACCGGAAACGGUAGCUAAUACCGGAUAAUUUAUUUCNCAGCAUUGUGGAAUAAUGAAAGACGGAGCAAUCUGUCACUUGGGGAUGGGCCUGCGGCGCAUUAGCUAGUUGGUGGGGUAAUGGCUCACCAAGGCGACGAUGCGUAGCCGACCUGAGAGGGUGAACGGCCACACUGGGACUGAGACACGGCCCAGACUCCUACGGGAGGCAGCAGUAGGGAAUCUUCCGCAAUGGGCGAAAGCCUGACGGAGCAACGCCGCGUGAGUGAUGAAGGUUUUCGGAUCGUAAAGCUCUGUUGCCAAGGAAGAACGUCUUCUAGAGUAACUGCUAGGAGAGUGACGG